rnacentral:rRNA from 1 species
UACGAAGGGGGCUAGCGUUGCUCGGAAUGACUGGGCGUAAAGGGCGCGUAGGCGGUUUGGUUCGUUAGGCGUGAAAUUCCUGGGCUCAACCUGGGGACUGCGUUUAAUACAGCCAGACUUGAGUGUGGAAGAGGGUCGUGGAAUUCCCAGUGUAGAGGUGAAAUUCGUAGAUAUUGGGAAGAACACCGGUGGCGAAGGCGGCGACCUGGUCCAUUACUGACGCUGAGGCGCGAAAGCGUGGGGAGCAAACAGG